rnacentral:tRNA from 1 species
GCCGGGAUGGCGGAAUCGGUAGACGCAGCGGACUUAAAAUCCGCUGGGGAGAAUCUCCCCGUGAGGGUUCAAGUCCCUCUCCCGGCACCA